rnacentral:rRNA from 1 species
UACAGGGGGUGCAAGCGUUGCUCGGAAUUACUGGGCGUAAAGCGAGCGCAGGCGGCCGAUUAAGUCAGAGGUGAAAGCCCGGGGCUCAACCCCGGAAAGGCCUUUGAAACUGGUAGGCUUGAAUGCAGGAGAGGGUCGCGGAAUUCUUGGUGUAGAGGUGAAAUUCGUAGAUAUCAGGAAGAACACCAGUGGCGAAAGCGGCGACCUGGCCUGACAUUGACGCUCAUGCUCGAGAGCGUGGGGAGCAAACAGG